rnacentral:rRNA from 1 species
UGGGGAAUUUUGCGCAAUGGGGGAAACCCUGACGCAGCAACGCCGCGUGGAGGAUGAAAUAUCUUGGUAUGUAAACUCCUUUCGAUGGGGAAGAUUAUGACGGUACCCAUAGAAGAAGCCCCGGCUAACUUCGUGCCAGCAGCCGCGGUAAUACGUAGGCAGCGAGCGUUGUUCGGAGUUACUGGGCGUAAAGGGUGUGUAGGCGGUUGUUUAAGUUUGGUGUGAAAUCUCCCGGCUCAACUGGGAGGGUGCGCCGAAUACUGAAUGACUUCGAGUGCGGGAGAGGAAAGUGGAAUUCCUGGUGUAGCGGUGAAAUGCGUAGAUAUCAGGAGGAACAUCCGAGGCGAAGGCGGCUCGCUGGAUCACAACUGACGCUGAGGGACGAAAGCUAGGGGAGCAAACAGGAUUAGAUACCCUGGUAGUCCUAGCCCUAAACCAUCAGGACUUGGGGUGUGCCCUGUACGGGGCACGUCCCGUAGCUAACGCGUUAAGUCCUGCACCUGGGGAGUACGGUCGCAAGACUG